rnacentral:rRNA from 1 species
GAUGAACGCUGGCGGCGUGCCUAAUACAUGCAAGUAGAACGCUGAAGCUUGGUGCUCGCACCGAGCGGAUGAGUUGCGAACGGGUGAGUAACGCGUAGGUAACCUGCCUCUUAGCGGGGGAUAACUAUUGGAAACGAUAGCUAAUACCGCAUAAAAGUCGACAUUGCAUGAUGUUGACUUGAAAGGUGCAAUUGCAUCACUAAGAGAUGGACCUGCGUUGUAUUAGCUAGUUGGUGAGGUAACGGCUCACCAAGGCAACGAUACAUAGCCGACCUGAGAGGGUGAUCGGCCACACUGGGACUGAGACACGGCCCAGACUCCUACGGGAGGCAGCAGUAGGGAAUCUUCGGCAAUGGGGGCAACCCUGACCGAGCAACGCCGCGUGAGUGAAGAAGGUUUUCGGAUCGUAAAGCUCUGUUGUAAGAGAAGAACGAGUGUGAGAGUGGAAAGUUCACACUGUGACGGUAACUACCA